CUUGAAAACCCUAGAAAAUAUUUUUUACGCUUCUCUCUAUAUAAAUACGUGUUCUUUGCUCCACUCUCAAUAUAUCAUCCUUUCUUCUCAUUCUUCUGUUAUAUUUUGAUCUUCGGUGAUGAUAUCUGUUGAUCUUCCAUAAAUCUUUGUUUAUUAAUCUCGUUUAUGUUUUGUAUCCAAUGAAGCUGCUAUGGUCUAUGACGAUAAAUUCAUAAGGCUUGUUUCUCAAGACAUUCGCAGUGGCCGCCUGAGUGAGCUUUCGCCUUCGCCAGGCUUGAGAGCUCGUGCUGCUAACUUCCUUGGAUGUCCGAGAUCUUCUAGCUUCUGUAUUCUCAACAGAUCUACUCUGAUUUAAGUUAUUACUCUUUCAUUAUAGAUCUAGUUUUUUCUUGUUUGUUUAAUCGAUUAUUUUGAGUUGAAAUUUCAUUUGAUGUCAGUGAUGACAAUCCAAAGGCUUGUUUCUCAAAACAUUCGCAGUGGCCGCCUGAUAUAGCUUUCGCCUUCGCCAGGCUUGAGAGCUGAUGUUGCUUUUAUCUUCCUUGGAUGUCUGAGACCCUUUCAGAUGCUAUCAUUCUUAUCAGAUCUACACAGUGGCCGCCUAAGAGCAUUCGCCUUAGCCGGGCUUGAGAGCUAAUGCUGUUUUAUCCUUCCUUGGAUGUCUGAGUCAAUUUCAUGUUUAUUUUGAAUUUUCUUUGGGACUGUAAACAUUUUCCUAAGCAUAAAUAUCGUUGCUUUAGGAAUGAAUGAUGCCCCUUACAUACAAAUAUCAUUUUCACUUUGUUAGCAAAUCUUGUUCAAUGUUUUGCUGAUCAUUAUACGAUGAAACAUUUCAUUUUCUUAAAAUAGUUUUCUUGACUGUUGGUGAUGAUAAAGUUGAAGGCUUGUUUCUCAAUACAUUCGCAGUGGCCGCCUAAGAGUUUUCGCCUUAGCCGGGCUUGAGAGCUAAUGCUGCAUUAUCCUUCCUUCCUUGGAUGUCUGAAACAGUCAAUUUUUAUUCUUUAAAUUUUGUGUUUUUAUUGUGAUGGUCAUGUUGAUUUGGAGCGGACUUCUGUUUAGUGUUCGUAUAUUCCUCACAUUGCCAUCACAUAUUGAGUCUCCUGUUGAUUUAAUGAAUGGUUGAGAUUCCUUCUCUCUGGAGACUGAGUUUCCUAUUCUUCAAGCAGGAGAGCUAUCUCAUAUCCUAUUGCCUUGAGGAGCAGAUUUCUGCCAUUACCUUUUGGGAUUUGCCAUGAGAAUAACAUU